GCAAGGUUGGCCAAAAAGGCAAGGCUACAAGGUUUGGUCUUGUGAGUAGGGGUUCGAUUCCACUACCUUGCG
rnacentral:tRNA from 1 species